rnacentral:rRNA from 1 species
GAUGAACGCUAGCGGCAGGCUUAACACAUGCAAGUCGAGGGGCAGCGCGGGAUAGCAAUAUCCUGGCGGCGACCGGCGGAAGGGUGCGUAACGCGUGAGCGACAUGCCCGUUGCCCGGGGACAACCGGUGGAAACGCCGACUAAUCCCCGAUGGGAUACGAUGCUUCAUGGCAUUGUAUUGAAAGUUACGGCGGCGACGGAUUGGCUCGCGUCCGAUUAGCUGGUUGGCGGGGUAACGGCCCACCAAGGCUGCGAUCGGUAGGGGUUCUGAGAGGAAGGCCCCCCACAAGGGGACUGAGACACGGCCCAUACUCCUACGGGAGGCAGCAGUGAGGAAUAUUGGUCAAUGGGCGGAAGCCUGAACCAGCCAUGCCGCGUGCGGGAAGGAGGCCCUAUGGGCUGUGAACCGCUUUUGCCUGGGGGCAAUAAGGGCGUCGCGCACGUCCGAUGAGAGUACCAGGCGAAUAAGCAUCGGCUAACUCCGUG